rnacentral:misc_RNA from 1 species
GAUGAAGAACGCAGCGAAAUGCGAUAAGUAAUGUGAAUUGCAGAAUUCAGUGAAUCAUCGAAUCUUUGAACGCACCUUGCGCUCCUUGGUAUUCCGAGGAGCAUGCCUGUUUGAGUGUCAGUUUAUUCUCAACCCCUCCAGCUUAUGUGGUUGGUUUUGGUGGCUUGGAUGUGGAGGUCUGCAGGUGCCCUAUGAAGGUGUCUGCUCCUCUGAAAUGCAUUAGCGGAACCGUUUGCAAUCCGUGACCGGUGUGAUAAUUAUCUACACCAGUGGAUUGCUCUCUGCUUGUUCAGCUUAUAACAUAUUAUUUGUAUGAUGAACCUUUGACCUCAAAUCAGGUAGGAAUACCCGCUGAACUUAAGCAUAUCAAUAAGCGGAGGA